AGUUCAAGAGAAUAUGCUACCACAGUAUUCGAUAACAACCACCUUAUUCAAUAAGAGCAACCUUAACUCGUGCAUGGUGAUAGAACAUACAAAUUUUCUUGCGUUUCUCGUGGAACUGAGAGGAAACUCAUUUCGGUGGAUGUUGUUGUCUACGGGAAAUAGUAUUCAAAUUUUGGUAACUUGAGGACGAUUCAAUUUCUGGUAUGAAAUUCAACGUUAUCAGGAUGUAUUUCCAAUGCUCAAGAAGGAUGUGGUGGAACCACUAGGAACUCAGAACCAACCAAGAACUGCUGAUAACUCAAAUGUUGCACCCGUUCAUCAGUCGGAUAAUGGAGAAAUAGAUGGCGGCAUACAGGCAAUCCUUUCUGGGCAGCUUCCUGCUUAGAAAAAAGAAUGGUAUUUUUACUUACUUCAUGGGUACGGAAGACUAUGGUGAAAGAAUUUAGCUCCAUCCACCGCAAAAGCAAUUCUUCACUUCUAUUAUAUUUGACUAUAGGGUUGAGGGAUUACCUGCAACCAAAAUGCCGAGAUAGGAACAUCAUAGGUCCUUAGUUCAUCCCAGAUAUGACGUACAGCCUCAGUGCCACCUUGCAUUCCAACUAUAGCAC